rnacentral:rRNA from 1 species
CGCGUAGGCGGCCUGUUAAGUCGAACGUGAAAUCCCCGGGCUCAACCCGGGAACUGCGUCCGAUACUGGCAGGCUUGAAUUCGGGAGAGGGAUGCGGAAUUCCAGGUGUAGCGGUGAAAUGCGUAGAUAUCUGGAGGAACACCGGUGGCGAAGGCGGCAUCCUGGACCGAGAUUGACGCUGAGGCGCGAAAGCCGAGGGGAAGCAAACG